UGUUGGGGGUCUGACUCUCGAGAUUCGGAGAGCAGUGUCUCUUCGAUUUUUGAGGAAGUAAUCAUGUUGGGAGUCUGGCUCUCGAGAUUCGAAGGGCGGUGCCUCUUCGAUUUUGGAGCAAGCAAUCUUGUUGGGAGUGUUGUCUCGAAUGUGAGUAAAGGUUGGGCAUGUUUGCUAGUCUACCUUGCCACGAAGCACAAAGGUUGACACACAAGGGACUUUCCAAUUAUCCAGCAAUGGUACUGUUCCUUUACCCUCUCUUCGAUUUUGAGAAAGUAGUCAUGUUGGGAGUCUGGCUCUCGAGAUUCGGAGGACGGUGCCUCUUCGAUUUUGGAGCAAGCAAUCUUGUUGGGAGUGUUUUCUCGAAUGUGAGUAAAGGUUGGGCAUGUUUGCUAGUCUACCUUGCCACGAAGCACAGAGGUUGACACACAGGGACUUUCCAAUUAUCCAGCAGUGGUACUGUUCCUUUACCCUUGUGGGUAAUAAUAUGG
rnacentral:lncRNA from 1 species